ensembl:lncRNA
UCGAAUGUGUCUGGGAUUACAUGAAGAGACAGAAGGGGUUGAGGAAGCCUGUAUCCACAGAAAAUCUGUGUUUAAGGACCCGCUGCCUUAAUCUUCUGGGCUUCCAGCAGUUUAUGGAAGACAGUGAAAUGACCUCUGACCUGAUGGACGAGGAAAGGAGCUGAACCGCCAGGGUCAGUAAAACCGAAACAGCUCUUCAGAAUCGGCGACAACAUCUCCAGCACCAUCAGACUGAGAACAGGAGCUCCUCAAGGCAGUGUUCUCAUCCCACUGUUGUUCGCUGUCCUGACACUGCACUGCUCUACACAGCUCCAACCACAUCAUCAGGUUCGCUCAUCAGCAACAACGACGAGUCGGCGUACAGAGAUGAGGUUCAGCAGCUGGCGUUCUGGUGCAGCGAGAACAACCUGUCCCUGAACCUGUCCCUGCUACAGGACAUCUUCACCAAGCUCUGCAUCAGCAAGGCCUCCUGCAUCAUGCUUGACCCCUCACACGCACUCUUUUCUCUCCUCCCAUCUGGCCGACGCUAUCGCAGCAUCGGGGCCCAAUCCUCCAGGCUGCGAAAUAGCUUUUUCCCACAAGCCAUCAGACUCUUGAACUCACUACCGGCUCUCCCACUCCCCCCCACCACACACACCCACACAAACCGUUACCUAACUCUAUUGCACUCCACAUACCACUGCCUUUGUAAUGCAGAUGCUGCUCUAUGGAGGAGAAAAGACAGACAGCUAAAUCCACCGGCCCGAUGACAAAUUCUCACGUCUCGGGACUUUACUACAGGAACUUCCUGGCUGACGUCAGUCUUUCAGCGUGUCUCUUCUCCCCUCGGUGAAUGUCGACUCCAGGGCUCCGGCUCAGAGGACCAAUUAAUGAUAGGUUCGUAGCUUAAACCUAUUCGCUGGAACGUUCAAGACAAUUCAACUACACAGCAAAAGCAUUGAACACCAAGUAGGCAAAGUUCUUUGUGUCACUCAUAUAUGAGGGAGAGAACCACGACAAGCGCCGUUCCUUCGCUUGACCCCAGUCGCUCUCGUCCACUCCCCCGUAACACUGGUCUUUUAUUGAGGUUACAUGAAUAUGCAUAUGACGUCUACAUACAAACAAAGAGUACCUUGUCUGUGCGUUGUGUAAGUAUAUGUGUGUGUGUGUGUGUGUGUGUGUGUGUGUGUGUGUGUGUGUGUGUGUGUGUGUGUGUGUGACAAGCGCCGUUCCUUCGCUUGACCCCAGUCGCUCUCGUCCGCUCCCCCGUAACACUGGUCUUUUAUUGAGGUUACAUGAAUAUGCAUAUGACGUCUACAUACAAACAAAGAGUACCUUGUCUGUGCGUUGUGUAAGUAUAUGUGUGUGUGUGUGUGUGUGUGUGUGUGUGUGUGUGGUCAGAGUGUGACCCCCAUAACACACACACACACACACACACACACACACACACACUUGUGUCAGGCUGUAAUUGAGUGAACAGAAUCUGGCUUACUGUAGAGUAUUUAUAGAACAGAAAGAAUCAGAGUGGCCAUAUUAAUCCUUAAUACUCU